rnacentral:lncRNA from 1 species
CUCCCCCAUCAGAACUCUACCAUCCUCGCCCUUGAUGCACCUAACUUGGUCAAGAUCACACGUCUUCCUUUCCCUUGCUUUAGCUAACCGGAAUAAAUUCCUGUCCCCGAAUUUCUUCCCUAAUUCCUGGUACAUGCGAUCAAAUGGCGUGUUUUUAGAGUCCGUAACCGCCAGCUUUGCUUCUUUCCUCGCUACCUUGUAGAUCUCCCUGUUCGCUCUCCGUUCUUCCUCGCUUGUGCUCUCUGCCAACUUAGAAAAUGCCGCCUUCUUCACCUCCACUUUUCCUUCGACUACAUCGUUCCACCACCAGU